CUAACACAAAUACUUAUGCCUGUUUUUGGUUGUUGUUGUUGUUAGGUGGAGUAUUGCACUUUUCUUGCCCUCACUCAGUGGUGUAUUACUCCUCAACUCUGGUGGCAAGAGUCUGCGAGAGACCACUCGUCUACUGAGUUUCAAACACAGACCUAAUGUCCACAUAUCAGACAUUGCUGGACGGGUGGCUCGCCAUACCAACAACAGAAGGCUGUGUGAACCCACACAAAAGAACAUUGAAAAGGCCAAGCUCAACGAGCUCACAGUUGAACUACUGUGGUUGAAAAAAAGAGGAGGCCAAGAAGAAAACGCCCACUUAGACAUGCCACACUGGCUCUUCCCACCAUUACUCACUGUAUGACAGGUUCCACCAAAAGAACCUGAAAAGAGAGGAGGAUAGACUGCAUAGUCUAAACUUGGUUCCUGAGUUGGCAUCAACAGUAAACUCAUCAGUGGCUGAGCAAAUAUAUAGAGAGCUGUCAUCAAGCAGCUACUUCCUCUGCUCCAUGAGGGACAGCCAUUUCAUGUUUUCACUGGGCUCAUAUUUCACCUGCACAACCAGAAAGUGAAUACCACUUAUGGGGAGGCAAUAAAAAGGAUGACAGAGGAUCCACUAGAGAUCCUACAGUGGGCGACUCUGGCUAUCAGGAUCGGUCCCAGUAAAGGUAGAGAAAGUGGAGAUGGCUAUGCCAACAAGUGGAGGUGAAACGACAUCGGCUGACAGUCAAGUUUGUUUUUCAGCGUCUUUGUUUCCGGAUAAACCUAAGACCUUUUGGUUUCAGACACAUCAACUUCCCCCUCACCGUGGUUAAAUGAUGAUGUCACGGUAAUCCCAUCCUUCAUGUUCCCUUACUGGUGGCGGGAUUGGAGAGCUCAUCAAACAGUUGGGGACAGGCGCCUGUCCUGCAUACAGGUUUUCGAUGGACCAUAUAAACAAAUACGAGUGUACAACUCUCUGGGCUUGUACAAAACAAUCCCUUAAAAUGACAUGGAGUUGUUAAGCUUUGCCUUUUCCAAAAUGUGGGACAUAACUGUAUGGACACAGAAAUACCCAGCACAGUGGACGCAAAAUUAUGGAAAUAACUGUGGGGCGUUUGGCAUGACGAUGGCACAGAUUGAACUGCAGUCCUUGCAAGUUAAGGAGGAGGGUUUGGGACACAACCAAUUACAGCACCUUCACCUUUACCACGCCACAGAGAUGAUGGCAGAUGUGAAAGUAGAAAAGCCGAAAAGGAAACGGCAGUGUAUGGCCAGUAACAUCCAUGUAUGCGUGUAACAGGAAGGCUCAUCCGGACAACAACGUGCGGUAAUAGAAGAAAAAAAGAGUCCUGGGCAUUGUAACAGAGGAAGAAGUAAAGGGUGAUGACUUAAUCAAACUGCUAGAGAGGGCAGUGGGAGGCAAACCAACGGAAAUCAGGACUGUGGACCUACUUUUUGAUGUCAUGAUGCCAGAGGUCAUUAUAAGAAUACUGUUCAGGCAUCAAGGGAUGUGCUGCUACAUGGCUGAACUGUUUAUCCACAGCAGGAAAGCCAUUUAGGCUGCUUUUAUUUGUUACACUACAUAGUUUGAUUGUUGGUGGGGUUUUGUAUUUAACAAAAACAUUUAAGACCACACACAGUUUUUUUCUUUAUCUUAUUGUAAAGGUUAUUAUGCUUUUAUUGUUUCGGUGGUCCUAUUUUCAUGCAUAUAAUGUCAAAUGCAGUUUUAUUUACUUGAGUAAACGGACGCCCUCGCCAUCCCUGCUGUCGGAUGUCCGUCCAUGUGAAAAAGGCCUAUAAAGUUUUGUUUUUGCUAUCAUAACAGCCAUGUUGUCGGAGUAAAAUUAGUGUAAGUUCUUUACCAUUUAUCAAAGUUUAAAACAGCACGGAAACUGCAGCAAAGUAUGAUGCAAAGUGUUUAUUCGAAUCUAACACAAAGGAUUGAUUCCAACAAACGUGAGUAGACCCCGGAGUCUGACUGAAAAUGUUCUCCGGACAUUUGCUUAUAUAUUUGUUCUCCAUUAUUUUUUUUAUUUUACCAUUGGUACAUUAUAUGUAGUCACAGAUUCAUAUAUGCAUUUCACACUCGGUUGGUUCAUUGUCACAGAAUUUGAAUAGCCUGGACUUUCCCUAACUUUCUCCCAUCCAGUGCCCACGUGAAACCUUGCAGCCCACCUGCACAGGUUCUACGGAGUUUAAGGACAUAAAUCUGUCCUCUGAUAUCUGGGCCUUGUAGUUCCCUAUCUGGGUCUUGUAGUCCUUCCGGGAAGAAACCUACACACACACACUUCUCUCUGUUGCACUCAAACUCUAACUAUCUGGUCUUCCACAUUUGGCCUCUUACUUCUGUUUUAGUGGUAAUACUUAUCAGUCAACAGCUUUGCAUCUGGUUUU